UACGAACCGUGCAAACGUUGUUCGGAAUCACUGGGCUUAAAGGGCGCGUAGGCGGGCCAGCCAGUCUGUGGUGAAAGCCCCCAGCUUAACUGGGGAAGUGCCGUGGAUACUGCGAAUCUUGAGGAGGGUAGGGGCGUCUGGAACGGUCGGUGGAGCGGUGAAAUGCGUUGAUAUCGACCGGAACUCCGGUGGCGAAGGCGAGGCGCUGGACCGUUUCUGACGCUGAGACGCGAAAGCGUGGGGAGCGAACAGG
rnacentral:rRNA from 1 species